rnacentral:lncRNA from 1 species
CUUACUGUGUGCCAAGCACUGUCCUAAGCACUGGGGUAGGAACAAAGCAAUCAGGGUGGACAAAGUCCUUGCCCCACAUAGGGCUCACGGUCCAAUCAAUCAAUCAAUGCCACUGAUUGCACACUUACAUGUAUAUAGCACUGUACUAAGCAUUCAGGAGAGUACAAUACAAUAUAGUACACAGACAAGAUCCCUACCAGCCAGGAGCUUACAGUCCAGUGGGAAGGUCUAAGUAGAUUGUCUCUCUUUAUUGCUGAAUUGUACUUUCCAAGUGCUUAGAACAGUCCUCUACACACAGUAAGCGCUCAAUAAAUACGAUUGAAUGAAUGAAUGAAAGGGAGAACAGAUAUCGAAUCUUCAUUUUACAGAUGAGGAAAUUAGGUGCCAGUCACGUGAAAAUGGGGGAUUUAGUUAUACCACUCUGUUGUAUUGUACUCUCCCAAACACUUAGUACAGUGCUCUGCACAUAUUUAGCGCUCACAAACACUGCCAUCGCUGGCUCAGAUCCGGGACCAUUCAAUCGUUCGAUUCAAUGCUUGGAGGAAUAAUAAAUAAUAAUUAUAAAAAUAGUGAUAAUAAUAAUAAUUUCUACUACAACUCAGCCAGCACACUUCACUCCUCUGAGGCUAACCCCGUGACUUUACAUCGAUCUUGUCUAUCUAGUCCCCAACCUCUUGCCUGCAUCCUGCCUCUGGGCUGGAAAACCCUCCCUCUUCAUAUCCAAAGGAUAAUUACUCUCCCUCCCCAACUUCAAAGACCUCAAAGGCCCAUCUCCUCCAAGAGGUCUUCCCUGUCUAGGCCCUCAUUUCCUCCUCUCCCACUCCUUUCUGCACCACCCUUGCACUGGGAUUUGCCUGAUUAUCCCAAUGGAAACUUAGCACAUAGUAAACACUUAACAGAUGCCACUAUUAUUAAAGGUAACCAGCUGUCAGAGGUGUCCCGGGGUCAGAAACUAAGUCCACCUGGCACUCUGCCAGAGCUCCAGGCAUCCUCUGCAUCUCUGAUGAUCUCCCAUUUGCCUCCUCUCCUCCUCCAGGACAGACCCCUGAAGAAGAAGAAGAGAAAACCUGGCUCCUGGUCCGUAAUUGGAAGAUCCAGUCCCACAGCGGAUAAACACUCAUCCAGUAACGAAACAUUUCAAAGGAUACUACUGAAGCUUCAGAAUGACACGGGUAUUACCCAGCAAGGAGCAGACCCUGAAAGACCCCCGCAACAGGUACUGUGGUCCUACUCCGGUGAAGGUCUGGGUACCCAAAACAAUCAUUUCCAUCUCAAAUUCCUGGGUUUUCUAUGCACUUGGGGUCUGCAUGUCCUAAAUCUUUUGAUUUUCACCCCCUCCCCAAGUUCACAGCACUUAGGGCCAUAUCCCUUUACUCUUGUGCUUCCCCACCCUGUAAAUGAUUUUGAAGCCUUUUUCCCCACUAGAUUGUAAAUUCCUGGAGGGCAGGGAUUGUCUCCCUACUCUAUUAAUAAUGAUGGUUUUUGUUAAAUUCUUACUAUGUGCCAAGCACUGCACCAUACCCUCUCAAACAUUUAGUUCAGUGCUUUAUACACAGUAAACGCUCAACAAAUUGCACUGAUGGAUUCACAUAGAAAUGCCCAGACUUGCCAUUUAGACCAUCAUUAGAACAAGAAAGCCUUUAUAAAUAAUAAUGAUGGCAUUUAAAUAAUAAUAACAUUUGUUAAGCUCUUAAUUUGGGCCCAGCACUCUAUUAAGCAUUGGGGUAAUUAAUAAUUGUGGCAUUUGUUAAGCACUUACUGUGUACCAGACACUGUAUGAAGCGCUGGGGUGGAUACAAGCAAAUCGGGUUGGACACAGUCCCUGUCCCACAUGGGGCUCACAGUUUAAAUCCCUAUUUUAUAGUUGUGGGAACUGAGGCAUAGAGGAGUGAAGUGAACUGCCCAAGAUCACACAGCAGACAAGUGGCAGAGCUGGGAUUAGAACCCAGGUCCUUCUGAAUCCCAAGCCGGUGUUUCUCAACACAGAGAGUACAGAAUAAUAGUUGAGGAAUAAUCCGGUUGGACAAAGUCCUUGUCCCAUUUGGGGCUCACAGUCUAAGUAAAUAUUACUAUUGUUGUUAUUAUCUUAUUACAUGUGUUAAGUGUUUACUUUGGGCAAAGCACUGUUCUAAGCACUGGAGGAAGAUGCAAUUAUGAUACUUGUAUGGUGUUAUUAAUAAUAAUAUUAUUAUUAUUAUUGCUAUUAUAAUACAUGUGUUAAGCACUUUUAGCAAAGUAUUUUUAUGGUAUUUGUUUUAUGGUUACUAGGUGUCAAACACUGUUCUAAGCACUGAUACAGCUACUAGUUAAUUAGGUUGGACAGAGUCCCUGUCCCGCAUGGGGCUCUCAGUCUUAAAUAGGAGGGAGAACAGGUAUUGAGUUCUCAUUUUACAGCUGAGAAAACUGAGGCACAGAGAAGGUAAGCGACUUGCCCAAACGUCAUUCAGCAAGCAAUCGGCAAAGCCGGGAUUAGAACCCCGGUCCUCUGACUCCCAGGACCAUGAUCUUUCCAUUAGGCCGGGCUGCUUCUCAAUAUAUCGCAGUCUCCGGCCUGCUCACAAAAGCCACGCAAUCUAAAAGCGGACAGGGUCAGCCCAGAAGAUCACUGGUACCUCAAGAACGAGGAAGGAGUUUGCCAGCUUCUACCGUCAAACCUGCCUGUCCGCAUUCUCUCUCCCUCUCCCAGGCGGUUGCCUCCAGAGAACACUGUUUUGGUUGCUGUACUUCCCACCUCUACAGGUCUCCUAGGAAAAAAGAGGAAGAUGCACCCAGAGAAUUGGAUCCCAUAAACUUCAAGCAACCUGAUCAAAAAGAAUCCUAGUCCCUGAGAUUAUACCCCAAACCCACCCACCCAUCUUCCCCCUGAGGCUGAGUUGUGAGGCCCCUCAUCUAGGCACUGUCUGGUAUCUUCUUGAUAAAUCCACCAAAGAAAUUUUCGCCUGCCUCCCUCUUUUAUUUUUUUUUGCGGGUUUUAUUUUUUUAGAAUAUUUGUUAAGCACUUAAUAUGUGCCAAGCACUGUUCUAAGUACUGGGAUAGCUACAAAUCAAUUCGGUUGGAUAAUACUAAGGAUAGUAAUGAUGGUAUUUGUUAAGCGUUUACUAUGUGCCAACUACUGUUCUAAGGACUGAGGCAGAUACAAGGUAAUCGGGUAUCUCACAUGGGGCUCACGGUCUUAAUCUCCAUUUUACAGAUGAGGUAACUGAGGCAGGAGAAAUUAAGGGACUUGCCCAAGGUCAC